rnacentral:rRNA from 1 species
CACGUAGUUAGCCGGUGCUUAUUCUUACGGUACCGUCAUUAGCCCCAGGUAUUAACCAGGACCGUUUCGUUCCGUACAAAAGCAGUUUACAACCCGAAGGCCUUCUUCCUGCACGCGGCAUUGCUGGAUCAGGCUUGCGCCCAUUGUCCAAAAUUCCCCACUGCUGCCUCCCGUAGGAGUCUGGGCCGUGUCUCAGUCCCAGUGUGGCUGGUCGUCCUCUCAGACCAGCUACAGAUCGUUGGCUUGGUGAGCCUUUACCCCACCAACUACCUAAUCUGACAUCGGCCGCUCCAAUCGCGCGAGGCCUUUCGGUCCCCCGCUUUCAUCCACAGAUCGUAUGCGGUAUUAGCGCAGCUUUCGCUGCGUUAUCCCCCACGACUGGGCACGUUCCGAUGCAUUACUCACCCGUUCGCCACUCGUCAGCACCUUGCGGCCUGUUACCGUUCGACUUGCAUGUGUAAAGCAUGUCGCCAGCGUUCAAUCUGAGCCAGGAUCAAAC